rnacentral:rRNA from 1 species
GCUUAACACAUGCAAGUCGAACGCUGAAGCCAGAAGCUUGCUUCUGGUGGAUGAGUGGCGAACGGGUGAGUAACACGUGAGUAACCUGCCCCCGAUUUCGGGAUAAGCCCGGGAAACUGGGUCUAAUACCGGAUACGACCNNNCCUCGCAUGAGGGUUGGUGGAAAGUUUUUCGAUCGGGGAUGGGCUCGCGGCCUAUCAGCUUGUUGGUGGGGUAAUGGCCUACCAAGGCGACGACGGGUAGCCGGCCUGAGAGGGCGACCGGCCACACUGGGACUGAGACACGGCCCAGACUCCUACGGGAGGCAGCAGUGGGGAAUAUUGCACAAUGGGGGAAACCCUGAUGCAGCGACGCAGCGUGCGGGAUGACGGCCUUCGGGUUGUAAACCGCUUUCAGCAGGGAAGAAGCCGUAAGGUGACGGUACCUGCAGAAGAAGUACCGGCUAACUACGUGCCAGCAGCCGCGGUAAUACGUAGGGUACGAGCGUUGUCCGGAAUUAUUGGGCGUAAAGAGCUCGUAGGUGGUUGGUCACGUCUGCUGUGGAAACGCAACGCUUAACGUUGCGCGUGCAGUGGGUACGGGCUGACUAGAGUGCAGUAGGGGAGUCUGGAAUUCCUGGUGUAGCGGUGAAAUGCGCAGAUAUCAGGAGGAACACCGGUGGCGAAGGCGGGACUCUGGGCUGUAACUGACACUGAGGAGCGAAAGCAUGGGGAGCGAACAGGAUUAGAUACCCUGGUAGUCCAUGCCGUAAACGUUGGGCACUAGGUGUGGGGGACAUUCCACGUUCUCCGCGCCGUA